GGUAAGUAAGGAAAUGUCCAAAACAGAAACGGGAUCUUAACGGCCAUUUAAAAAACGGAGAAGAAAGGAAUCCUAGGAAAGAAGGAAUAAAAUGAAAUGUAAAAAACGGAGUAAACAGUCUGUUGUGGAGUGGAACUGAGUUGCUGUGUUUCAAGCUGCUUAUAUAUCGGGUGAACGGACAAGGAAGAACGCAGGCACCUAUUACGCGAAAAAAGCUUCCACCCACAGGUCUGCCAAUUUGGGUCAGAACCCACUUGUGAAUCUGAUCUGGUGUGUUCAGGUGUCCUGAGACAGGGGGCGCUGUUUCUAAAAUGAGUUCCUCAGAGGAGACCGAGACUGACGAUGGAACCCACGGCCCUGUGAGAAAGAGGGUCCAGAUAGAUAGGGCUGGGUCACCUGCACCCAGCUGUCUGUCUAUGAAGAGUGAUCG